rnacentral:snRNA from 1 species
AAAUGUGAGGGCGAUCUGGCUGUGACAUCUGUCACCCCAGUGAUUGCCAUGGUUGAUUCGGCUGAUCUGGCUAGCUAGGAGGGUGUCCCCUUCCUCCCUCACCGCUCCAUGUGCGUCCCUCCCGAAGCUGCGUGCUAGGUCGAAGAGGACAACCAUCCCUGCUGGAGCAGGACUGGUCUUCGGUCAAGGGUAUACGAGUAGCUGCACUCCCCUGCUAAAACCUCCAAACAAGCUCUCAAGGAGACAGGUUUCACCAACCAAGAUCAGUGGAAACUGUAUCUCAUGGAUUUUGAUUUUUUUGU